rnacentral:rRNA from 1 species
UACGGAGGGUGCAAGCGUUAUCCGGAUUUACUGGGUUUAAAGGGUGUGUAGGCGGACUUUUAAGUCAGGGGUGAAAUCCCGAGGCUCAACCUCGGAACUGCCUUUGAUACUAGUUGGUCUUGAAUGUUGUUGAGGUGGGCGGAACGGGUCAUGUAGCGGUGAAAUGCAUAGAUAUGACCCGGAACACCGAUUGCGAAGGCAGCCCGCUAAGCAACUAUUGACGCUGAGGCACGAAAGCGUGGGGAUCAAACAGG